rnacentral:rRNA from 1 species
AGGACGAACGCUGGCGGCGCGCUUAAUACAUGCAAGUCGAGCGAGAACCGGACCUUCGGGUCCGGGGAAAGCGGCGAACGGGUGAGUAACACGUGGGUAAUCUGCCCUCGGUACUGGGAUAGCCCGGGGAAACCCGGAUUAAUACCGGAUAGCCUUUCGAGCUCUCGGGCUCGUUAGAAAAAUGGUGGCUUCGGCUUCCGACUGAGGAUGAGCCCGCGGCGGAUUAGCUUGUUGGUGAGGUAAUGGCUCACCAAAGGCUCCGAUCCGUAGCUGGUCUGAGAGGACGAUCAGCCACACUGGGACUGAGACACGGCCCAGACUCCUACGGGAGCAGCAGUAGGGAAUCUUGCGC